rnacentral:lncRNA from 1 species
AAGCUUUUGAGAUACAGCCACAGAAUCUCAGUACAGUACAUAGGAAAUGACUCAUAGAGGAGUUGAAUCCAACGCGUGGGUGUGGGCGCUAUUAAAACAAGACUGAAAGUUUGGGGUGGGUCAUUCACACGCGCUGCUUUUGCUAUGCUUGAAACCCAUUUGUGGCUUUUAAUCUUUUGAAAUCGCUGUGGGAUUUCAAUAUAUAUAAAGCUCAAUGGAUUCCGGUGCUAUGUUGCGUUGCCUCUAUUGGAUUACUCUAUUGAUCGCCACGCUUAUUCAUGGAAUAAACGCGGAUAAAAGUUCAGCCCUUUGUUUGAAAUCGGAAUUCUGGAACAAAGAUGUCGCACAAUGUGUACCUUGUUAUAUAUGCAAACAGUACCCGAAAACCCCAUCAUGUGACACAUGCCCACCCAUAGAGCCUUCGAAUUCCUGGAGGGUGGCAGCAAUUACCAGUUUAUCUGUCCUGGCAGCCGUAAUUGUUAGCGGAGCCUUGCUCAUAGGCGUUCUAGUACAUCAAUGCAGGUCCAAGAGGACCUUACGUGGUGAGAUGUUAACAUUACAGCAUCUUUUUAACAACAAACACUCUCCUUCAGAGCAGGACUCAAAACUAACUCAACUUUUUCUGUUCACAACUCAGAACCGAUUGAAGAGACAACAGGACCCCUUUAUCCAGUAUAGGUUCUUCAUAAGGUAGGGGUUGAAAAAUGCAACACUUCUUAGGAUGCUUUGAAAUGCAUUAAGGUAAUUAGUUUUGUUCAUAUGCAAUCUUUUAAAUGUUUGCAGCUCAUGGAACUCAAGCUGACAGCAUAUGAAAAUGGACUGUUACUCCAGUCAGUUAAACACAGGCUGGUACCUCAACCACAGAGUGUUCUAGGAGUAGCAUCUGAUUUGUCUAAUUUAUUACAUUAGUAGGCUAUGUCAUGCAUAGCAAAUGAUUAUGCAAAAAAGCUGCACUGAGACCUUCCUUGUCACUCACUGUGCAGAACAGGUUUGCAAGCCUUAGGUGCUACGUGACAUCCUAUAGACAGCAAGAUAGCAUAUUUUAUAUUCCUUUUUUUGGAACCCCUCAAAUGCUUUAGUGACAGGUUUUGUUACACUGUUUUUGCAAAAAAUGUGUGGCCAUUCAUGUUGCACUUAGAGUGCACUGUAGAUGCAUUUCCACCUGAAUAUUCCUUGUUAGAUUUGCAAACACGAUAAACACAAAUAACCGAAACUAGUUUAACAUAGACUUAGAGAUGAUCCUUUUUUACACAAAUAUGCCUUAUAGACAGACUAAGUAUGGCACAUAGCCAUUUGAAUGUAUUUGUAAUCUUUGUACAGUUUAAUUAUCUAUUUUUAUAGUGUUGGAAUACUAUGCACUGUAUAGAUGUAGCCCUUUGUACAACAAUAUUCUGACACUGACUGGCUCAGCAGCCCGUCUAUGGCAUUGAUGAACAUUCUGGAGAUGUGGAGGCACUGAAGAGCAGCGAAGACAAAGCAUUACCUGAAAGUGAAGAGUUGCCAGCUGACAUGAACAGAUUCUUUAAAAGAGCUGCAGGUGUCAGAUUCAAUCUUAGUUUUCCUACCUUUAUGCGCAUAAGAGAUUAGAUAGUUUAGUGUGAUAUUUACAUACAUCUAUCGUGAUGCAUUUAAUCUCUCGUGUUUUGAAGAUGUGUGUAGCCUGCUGUGGGCAUUAGGAAAUGUAUAUAUUUAUAUGCAGCAGAUGCUGAGGAGUAAUGAAAUUAACUUGUUUGAAAGACAUCAAGCAUUUUUAGAAAGGUUAAUCUCACAAAACCUGUGAAAAAAAGGUCUGAGUCACAUUUCAACCCAGAAAUUAUUUUGCUUAAAGAAAUCAUCUUUUUUUUUUUUGCAGUGUUACAUUGUUUUCAAGAAAACUAAGCACAUUUUAUAUGCCAAUUCCCAAGAAUACUUUAUGUACCUCAAUGCAAAUCACUGCCAUGUUUGUCAGAAAUCUAGAAACAUCAAGAAGCUAGUCCAGAAUCUUGAUAAACAUAAACCUGCGAAGCAUGCACAGCACUGUCACAGUCUUGAGUAAAGUUGGUUGUGUAUAUGUGCCUUUACUCAUUCACAAUUACUCCACAGACUGCAGAGGAAACUAUGCAUUUGAAUGCAAUAAAGAGACAACUAAUGUAC